rnacentral:rRNA from 1 species
UACGUAGGGCGCGAGCGUUGUCCGGAUUUAUUGGGCGUAAAGAGCUCGUAGGCGGCUUGUUGCGUCGUCCGUGAAAACCUGUGGCUCAACUACAGGCUUGCGGUCGAUACGGGCGGGCUGGAGUUCGGUAGGGGAGACUGGAAUUCCUGGUGUAGCGGUGAAAUGCGCAGAUAUCAGGAGGAACACCGGUGGCGAAGGCGGGUCUCUGGGCCGAUACUGACGCUGAGGAGCGAAAGCGUGGGGAGCGAACAGG